CAGGAGGUCUCAGUCUCCUUCCUGCUCGGGCUCCUCUGGGCUGAGCCUCCAGGGCGGGAGACGGGAGGGUGAGUGGUUACGGUCCUUUGCUUCUUACUGAGCAGCUCAAAGCCAACACCCCCCAUCAGCUUCCUGCCGUUUCCGUCCCUUCACCUUCCUCUCCCACAGGGUCCCCCGGGAACCGGUGACGGACAGUCUGGGAACCGCUGUUGGGCACAGGUCGCUCUGCGCUUCCCACGAGGCAUUUCGGAGGGGAAACAGGGGACGAGCCUCUCUGUGCCGGGCCCUUCCAGCUCCCACGGAGCCGGCCUCGGAAAGGUGAGCAACGAGAAGCAAGAUCUCCGGCCACCACGGCCUCACCCAGCCCUCCCCGCCCCUCACGCCCCCAGCUCCUCCAGACAAAAGGGGAGCCUGAGGUCGUGUGCUGAGCAGACCCACAGACAUACGUCUGGUGAACACGGAGGAAG